AAAAUGCGGCGGCAGGCUUACCAUGCAAGUCGAGCGGUAGCACAGGGGAGCUUGCUCCCUGGGUGACGAGCGGCGGACGGGUGAGUAAUGUCUGGGAAACUGCCUGAUGGAGGGGGAUAACUACUGGAAACGGUAGCUAAUACCGCAUAACGUCGCAAGACCAAAGAGGGGGACCUUCGGGCCUCUUGCCAUCAGAUGUGCCCAGAUGGGAUUAGCUAGUAGGUGGGGUAAUGGCUCACCUAGGCGACGAUCCCUAGCUGGUCUGAGAGGAUGACCAGCCACACUGGAACUGAGACACGGUCCAGACUCCUACGGGAGGCAGCAGUGGGGAAUAUUGCACAAUGGGCGCAAGCCUGAUGCAGCCAUGCCGCGUGUGUGAAGAAGGCCUUCGGGUUGUAAAGCACUUUCAGCGAGGAGGAAGGUGGUGAGCUUAAUACGCUCAUCAAUUGACGUUACUCGCAGAAGAAGCACCGGCUAACUCCGUGCCAGCAGCCGCGGUAAUACGGAGGGUGCAAGCGUUAAUCGGAAUUACUGGGCGUAAAGCGCACGCAGGCGGUUUGUUAAGUCAGAUGUGAAAUCCCCGGGCUCAACCUGGGAACUGCAUUUGAUACUGGCAAGCUAGAGUCUCGUAGAGGGGGGUAGAAUUCCACGUGUAGCGGUGA
rnacentral:rRNA from 1 species